UAGCAUUGAUAUAUUUCGAUGAAAGCUUGUUACUUUUAUUCGUUUAUUCUGCAAUUGAGUCAUGUAAUAUUCUUAAAAUUAAAACAAGGUGUAUUAUUGUGAAUGAGUGAUUGUGCCCGAAAUUGUAUUUUAAGAUGUAACGCUUCUAUCUUUGAUAAGUCUUAUAUUAGCUUCAGGCUAUUGAUAUUGUAAAUAUUGUUUGUUGAUAAAAGUAUUGGAAUUUGUACCAAUAUGUGUCUUUUUUUCCCCCCAACACUAUGUUACCUGGAUGAAAAUGGGGCUGAGUUGCUGGCAAGACGAAGUCAGCUUCUUUGGCAAAAAAAUAACUAGAAGAAUUAUAGGAAGGCUAUUCUGUGACAGGGUAGACAAAAAGUCAUCAGAUAUUGGGGAGCUGUUAAAUCUUGUUCAACCAAGCUACACAUAACGAUGAUAAUUGCCUGGGCCAUGAUUUUUGGUUAAGGUAAGUUUUGUCACCACAUGAGUUGCAGUCUCUACUUGUUUUAGUUUUGUAGUUCAUAGAUAAUUUCUCUUUGUUUAAAGAGGUUUUACACCUUGAGUUAAUAUAUCAUUGAUUUCAGAUGUGGGAGUUUUGUGAUGUGAACAAAUACAGAGAUGAGCUUGUAUUUUUGAAGUAACUUCCUACUAUGCUUUGUCACUGUAAAAUGAUUUUAUUAAGGAUAAGUUGGCGGUUUUUAUAAUGUACUCUUAGAUUUUGUUUCCUCAACUUCAUGAAAAUUGGGUGUUUUGUAAUGAAAAUUUCCAUGAAGUAACAUUCAGAUGUAAAUUACGAUGGUAUCGGAAUUUAAUGUGGGUAUAAUUUCGAGCUUCAUUAUCUAGAUGGUGAGCGCGCAACUCUUUCUCACAUUAAAUUGCGUUAUAAUCGCGAUGUACAUUACCUGAAAGUUGGAAUUUCAUUAGAUAACUUCGUUAUUUCUGAAAGUAAGGAAACAAGGUCAGGAAGUGCUUAUAUUUUGGGAUUCCACAUAAUUUGAUAGGUUUUCUCUUUGUUUUGUCUUGGUUAAUAUCGUGUAGAGAUUUAUCUAGUGUGAUGCUGGCGAAGCACACCGUACAAUUUGGUUGUUUUUUUAGGAUAUUUUUUUUUUUACAUUCCCCGGUGUAUGGAAAACGAAUAUGAUGAAAAUGUUCGCUGACGAUCCUGGCGGGGUGGGAAGGGGACUUUCGGAACAUUCACAAGAUCUGAUUUUUCCGUUAUAACUUUUGAGAAAAUGGAUAUUUUUUUACGGAAUCCGACGCUCUUGGUUAUGGAGGAUUCGAUCCUGGAAAUUUUUCAAAAGUAGCUUUUUCCGGAUUUUGUGGGUGACCGAAAUAGGUAGAGAAAUGCGAAGAUUACGAUUCUGAAAAAAAUUUGUAAAACUUCAAUUUUUCAACAAUAAUACAUAUACCCUCAGGCCUUUAAGCAGGCUAUCCACAUGCUAGAAAUAACGGCCAAAUCUCACAAAGCUGCGAUGACGUAAAGAAAUUUUGAAAAAAAAAUUUUCAGAAUCGAAUCCUCCAUAGCCAAAAACGUGGGAUUCCGUAAAAAUCUAUAUCCAUUUUACCCCAAUUUAAUUUAUGACGGAAAAAUAGGAUCUUGUGAAUUUUCCGAAAGUCUCCUCCCCACCCCAGAAAUCGUCAGCUCAUUUUUUUUCAUAUUCGUUUUCCACACGCUAUCCUUACACGUAAACAUGUAAAAGAUUGUCGAAAAUGCAAGUUUAGGCCUUAAAAUGUGCUUCAUUCCAAACGCUUGUCUGUUUCUAAUAUAUGUAACGUUAAUCUUGUUUCUUGGUUUUCUCGUAAUGGGGAAACUAUUCUAUGUUACUACAAGCUGUUAUAUAUAAUGGUACCAUCUCUUGGACAAAGUAUAGACCACCUAAACCAUCAAGGUGGUGCAGCGUUUUCUAAGAUAAAUGUCUGAUUAGAUAAUAUUAAGUUUUUAGAUGCUGCCAGAAAAUUAAUGCACAGUUUUAACUUUGGAUUGGAUCUUGUAAUUUUCAAUAUAAAACUAGUUAUAUCAUAAUAUACAAGCACAUAUUUACAAGGGAGUGGGCAGAAGUAGACAAUACAAGUUGCUUAAAAGGAGUGGAAUGUUCUUUUCACUAUUUUACCCCAACUUUCCACUCUUAUUGAAAUCACAUGAUAGGCCCUAUGAUUGAUCUGUGGUACUUGCAAACAAGUAGCGUUUUGAGAUCUUUACCUUUUUUGACUGACAGAUUUAAAAAAUAAUUUUUUGUAACUGAACACUUUCAAACUUCGGACACUGGCAGAAUGUGUCGUAAAAUAUCUUUUGCUCUUAGCGUUUUUGAGAAAAGCUUAUAUUUAGGAAGUUAUUUCACGUUAAAGUUGUAUUUCGGUAAUUUCAACCAAUAAAUGAUGACAUCGUUCGUGCGUUUGUACUGGUUUUAGCUGUAAGGGGUUAGGGUUGUCAAAAAUAAGUGACAAACGAAGUAUACACCGCCAGGAGUUCUUGUUGACAACAGCAAUAAUUUAUUCAGCUGAAUACACGUCAUUGCUUGGUUGAAAUUACCGAAAUACUACAACUUUAACGUGAAAUAACUUCUAAAUAUAAGCUUUUCUCAAAAACUUUGUUGCAGAUUUAAGGGGAGAUAACUUGAUUUAGUCUUGAACCAGUUAGAUGAAUAGAUUUUUUUCACAAGUGCAGUUUUCCGUUCGACUUAACGAAAUGAAAUUUGAAUUUCACACCUAUGUAAAUGGUUGAUAGGCUUAAAGUAGACAUAUCAGUUCAUUUAUGAUCUUGUUUGCCAGUCAGUAAUACAUCAAUAGCUGCUACAUGAAUAUUCUGUUUAUCUUGUGUAGUAUUGAAGCGUUUUAUAGAAUUAAAACUGACACAUAGGCAAUGCAUGAUGGGCUGAAGUAUUUUUAGAUGGUAUAUCAUGCAACAUAUCUAUUGCAUUAAAGUAUUAAAAUGUGUAUACUAAAAUAUGUUGAAUGCAGGCAUACUAUUAUAUCCAAUCCAAAGUUUGUGUAUAGAGCUAUCUGGUUAGGUUGUCAAUGAAGUGGCUAAGAUAACUAUGGUAUUUUUUGGAUAUAUUUUAGUAUUGUUUUGAAGUUUAACAAAAUAGUUGAACAACAAAAGAUCUUUUCCUUUUUAGGUCUGCUGUCCAAUAUUUGAAGCUUACAAGGCAAUUUGCAUACUUGUCCAAGACACUUGGGACAACUGCAGUGGCAGGAAUGUUGUGUUGGAUGAGUGCUUCAUGAAACAUGGCUUUUGAAUAUUCGAAGAAAAGGGUUUCUGUAAAUUUUAACAAGUUUCACAUUUUCUAAAUGAAAUAAGUUGUAAUUUAUUGAGCAUCAUAACCAAAUCUGGAACUGGAAAUAGACAAGGCAAACAUGAAUUUACAUUCACAAAAAGACAAUCCCACAUAAGAUACUAAACUGAAAAAGUGACAAGCUAUUUUAACUGCAUACAACAAAACAGCUCUGGAUGACAUACAACACUAAUGCUUUGGAAUAUACAAAUGUGCUGAAAAAUUAGGGUGAAAUCUUGAGCUUCAUGGUUACAUGAAUAGGAAACAAAUAGGUUCUUAUGAAACAUCACAUUUUUAAAUAGUGAACCCAACAGAGUAAAUGUCAAUUUGAUAAAACUUGG
rnacentral:lncRNA from 1 species